UGAAUACGAGACGCUAAGGCGUCGAAGUAGUGUAUGUCAUACUUCCAAGAAAAGCUUGCACUGUCAUAGAUAAAAAACGCCUGUACCAUAACCGACACAGGUGGGUAGGUAGAGUAUACUAAGGGGCGCGAGAUAACUCUCUCUAAGGAACUCGGCAAAAUAACUCCGUAACUUCGGGAGAAGGAGUGCCUUAUUCGUAAGGUUGCAAUAACAAGAUCCAAGCAACUGUUUAUCAAAAACACAGGUCUCCGCUAAGUCGUAAGACGAUGUAUGGGGGCUGACGCCUGCCCAGUGCCAGAAGGUUAAAGAAGUUGGUUAGCAAUUGCGAAGCUGAUAACUGAAGCCCUGGUGAACGGCGGCCGUAACAAUAACGGUCCUAAGGUAGCGAAAUUCCUUGUCGGGUAAGUUCCGACCCGCACGAAAGGCGUAAUGAUUUGGAUACUGUCUCGGAGAGGGGCUCGGUGAAAUAGACUUGUCUGUGAAGAUGCGGACUACCUGCACCAGGACAGAAAGACCCUAUGAAGCUUUACUGUAACUUGAAAUUGAAAUUGGACUUUAUUCGCGCAGUAUAGGUGGGAGGCGUUGAUUAUAAUCUUGUGGGAUUAUUGGAGCCAUCAGUGAGAUACCACUCUUGUAAUGUUAGAUUUCUAACUUUGAAUCAUUAUCUGGUCAAAGAACAGUUUCAGGCGGGCAGUUUGACUGGGGCGGUCGCCUCCUAAACGGUAACGGAGGCGUACAAAGGUUUCCUCUGAACGGUUAGAAAUCGUAUCUAGAGUGUAAAGGCAUAAGGAAGCUUGACUGUGAGACCUACAAGUCGAGCAGGGACGAAAGUCGGUCUUAGUGAUCUGACGGUACUGAGUGGAAAGGCCGUCACUCAACGGAUAAAAGUUACUCUAGGAUAACAGGCUGAUCUCCCCCAAGAGUUCACAUCGACGGGGAGGUUUGGCACCUCGAUGUCGGCUCAUCGCAUCCUGGGGCGGUAGUACGUCCCAAGGGUUGGGCUGUUCGCCCAUGAAAGCGGUACGCGAGCUGGGUUCAGAACGUCGUGAGACAGUUCGGUCCAUAUCCGGUGUAGGCGUUAGAAUAUUGAGAGGAGCCUUCUUUAGUACGAGAGGACCGAGAAGGACAUACCUCUGGUGUACCAGUUAUCGUGCCAACGGUAAACGCUGGGUAGCUAUGUAUGGAGUGGAUAACCGCUGAAAGCAUCUAAGUGGGAAGCCCACCUCAAGAUAAGUAUUCUCACC
rnacentral:rRNA from 1 species